UCAAAAUAAAAAAAAAAAAAAAAGGCAGAAACAGCAUGCAGACUACAGUUCUCUAAUUUCUGGGAACCCUGGAGACCAGCCUGCUUGCUGCAUUUCCCUGGACUUUCUUCCUUAUAAAAUCACUAUAGUUUGCUGCUUCCCCUCCUCUCUCCCCGCUCUCUGCCACCUCAGUGUGCCACAGUUUACCCUACUUUUUAGUUGCUUAAACUGAAGACUGCUCCCUAGAUUCUAAGCGCACUUCGGUUACAAGAAAAUCCAGAAACUUGGGGGUAACCCGUUUCCUUUCCCUUCACUUCAACAUCGUUUCUUUUUCUCUGCUAAGAUUUAAACAGUGAGGGCUGGCAGUAAAGCUAACUGCUAGCCAAAUGUCUCUCGGAAGGCUGGAGAAGGCACAGUGCCUAAAUACCUGAGUGCUACUGUUUUGUUGCCCUCUCCUGCCACUCUCCUCCAGGGGUGCGCCUGAACUCUGCCCCCAAGUGUGCUCUGUAAAGUAGACCGUUGCUUUCUUCACCACCAUUCUCAGGGUGACCCAGUUCCAUUUUUACUGUAGAACUUAGUCUCUUGCAAGCGCCAUGAGAUCAGAAGGAGAUCACAAGCUUGCUGGGCAACACAGUAACCAGAAGGAAAAACAUGCCAAGGGCAUAUCAUUUAAGGAACGUUUGCCUUAUCCAAAAGCACUCUGAUUGCCACAGCACAGGCUGUGUAAACAGAAUGAAGCAAUGUCCAGAGCGUGCCCUUAGCACUCCCCCCCCCCCCCCCGCCGGCCGAGUUCAGACUGAGGCCUCCGCCUCCUAGAAAGGGGACGUGCCGGUGCUCCUGGUGCACUGUGUAAAACUUGAAUGGCUUCCUUCCCUCCUGGUUUACAGAAGGCAAUGGAACAUGCGCCUCCAUUAGGCCCCUCCAGCUCCCGCUGCACUCGCCACCUGACGGAGCAGUUGCGUAAGGAUCCCCUGCGUUAUCUCGGCCCAGCACGGGUUGAGGUGGUUAUGCCCGUUGUUAUCAGCGUGGAAGGCCUGCUCUUCUAAGCAAACAGUGUCUCGAGGACUGCCACCCCAAACACACGGGCUGCCCCUGGAUUUCGGUGUUGGUGUUUCAGUGCCAGGUCUCCCGGGUCAGCCCGCGCCAUCCGUGACGGGAGAGACGAGCCUGUGGCUGAGGUGGACGUGUGGUCUGUUUCUGUGCACUGAGUGGACGUUCGGGUUCCUGAAAGCAGGCCAAGUGACAGGCGACUCUGUCCUACCUUCUGCCCUCACGUGGAAAAGUGGCAAUGAUUGUUCCGGACUGCCUGCGUACGCUUUUGCUCCUCUGAGAAUCAAGGCUCGGUCCUUCUCUGAAGCAGGUGGGAGCCGCCAGAGCACGUGUCCCUUCGGGUCUUCAGUCGUGUCGGAGGUGACCGGUCUGUAGAGCACCAUAGCUCACCACACAGAGAGCAGCCGCAGUCGUCCAUGAUAUGAACAACCUGGAGUUUUCCAAACAAGGAGUGAGACAAGACGAGGGAAUAGCACAUCAGGGAAGAGUUGUCCUCUGCCAGGCAUCAGCCUCCCCGUUUUAAAAAAUAUUUUUAACAUCCUCAGUCCAGCAUGUCCCGCUUUCGUCUUCAACCUGUACUUCCUACGGCCUAGGAAUUUAAAAGAGCUUACUUCCAAACCUGGCCUGCAGCCAUAAUGUGAUUAGGGGGUAAUCUUUUCCAAGUGUCUGUCCAAUUAUGCCUGCUAAUUUCAGUGAGGCAGGUUUUUAAGAGUCCCAGUGAACCCAUCCAUGUAGGGACUGAAAGCUCUGGCCCCUGAGAUCUAUAACCCCUGAGAUAAGCCAGAGCUACAAAUACAUCGUCUAGACUUUGAAGGAGAGAAUAUGAUUCUUAAUAUAGCUCACCAACCACCAAGUCGUGCCUAGACUCUCUCACAAGUUUUCUAUAACAGGAGAAGCCUGCCUGCCUGUUGACUAGAAAGAGUCUCACCUCCUCUGCCACCGCACAGAUAAACUAAAAAGAAAGGACUGCCCCCAAAUCGGGCCAGAUGGUGACCCCUGACUAUUUCAGCUCAGGAUGUCAGCCUCUAAAGCAUCAGGUUUGAAUCAUCUUGGUAUCACGGGAUUCUAUCAUUGUUCAUUUGAAUCUGCUGACACGCUUCCUCUGGAAAGUAUAGUUUGGCAAGGAUGACUCAGUGGGUUUUUCUGUUUUGUUUUAUUUUGUUUGGGGGUGGGGGGUGUUUAUCAAAACAUAAAGAUGGAAUGCUUUGAGAAUUUUUCAGCACCUCAUGAUUGUUUCAAAACCAAGUCUGAGAACGUCCGCAGCUGGCCCUGCCUGCUGUACUCACCACCAGUGUGGCGACUGUGAACCAGUCGCUAUGGGUUAUCAGUGCUGACAAUGAGAGAGAAAGAAAAUGCUAGAAAAAGGAAAUAAAUGGACGAGGGGUAGGAUGAGAGAUGGCCUUAAAGAGAUUCUGCUUAUUCUGAUAGUUCCUCAGAAUCCAGGAUGUACCCUGGCUUUGUGGAAAAGGGAAAUGAGAAGUCAUGUAGGGAUGGCCAUUUUCCCAGGGGGCCCUAACCGUCAGCUCUCCCAUCAGGAUUUCUUACAUGUAGCCUCCAGGGGCCCAAGCGUAACUUCAGGAUGAAUCCUAACAAGCAGCUUCAAGGAAUACAGUUUAUUUGGGAAGUUUCAGUGUGUUUCUUAGGCCGAGGACUUGUACCACAUAACAACUUAAAACCUAAGAGAACUGAGCACAUGGAAGGAAAGGGAAACGAGUUCUUAGGGGCCCUUGGGCAACUCAGCUCCUGCCUGCUUCUGAGCUGGCCCCGCGCCACUCUUGCCCUGGCAACAGGAACUAAGUGGACGCCGAACUCACAGACCGCCCUCUGCCGCCCUUGAAUCAUCCCCUGGAUUCUUGAACAGGCUUUUUGCCUUAUGAGAGCCUGGCCUAAAGCUAGAAAAGGACCCUCCUGUACUCGCGUGAAAGCAGCUGUGCCUUAAGAGAAACCAGAGGCCAGGCAGAAUUAGAAAAGAAUAUCAGCCUUCCCCAUGCCGUUCAGAUUUCCUCAUAAUCUAGUAGACACCAAGCCAGGACGGUCCCGUGGCUUUUUGGACCAUUGUAAGGCCGAAACUAUCAGAACUUAGAGCUUAGAGGAGGCAAUGAAAUGGCAAUGAGAACAAUAGGUGUGCCGUCCAUCGCUUCUCAUUACCCAGGAGGUAAUUUCAGUCCAGAGGCAGAGACCUGAAGUGACCGCAGCUAGACCGUGACAAUGCUCAGGUCUGGUCUUGCUUUUCUAUAGCAUGAGCCUGGGUACAGUUUGACCUUGUUUUACAAACGCUGCCCAGCCCUGCCUGUGCAUCUGGCUGCUGACAGGCUCCCGAUGCAGGAGCAGACCCAGGAUACCCAAUCCGAUCCACUGCAGAGAAUCCUUAAUCAUUCCCAGGGUGGAGCCCUAGCCCACACAUCUCUGCCUUUCUAAUGCACGUCCA